CAGGGCUCCAUUGAUGUUGGACUGGCUGAUGUGGCUCUCUAUGCCAAAGGUGAAUGCUGAAUGAGAGAAGCCUGGAGGAGGAAUGGAUCAUUUGGAAAAAGCUUCCUGGCUCUAGGCAGGGCACCAGUUUCCAUUCAUUAACCUACAACUGGAAAUAAUUACCAGCCGUCUUCAUGAGGAAGGCUGGGUUUUUUGGCUUAAAACGUCUGGGAUGGGACUUAAACCUCAGCAAUAACAGAUCCUGCAGUGCUUGCAUCCAGGCCCCGUAUUUAUUCAUGCAGAACCCGCACUGUUUAAAAUGGGACUAUGGAAAUAAACAAGGGGUCUGGAUGGGGGACAGAACCUCCACUGUUUCCAUAAUGCCAGUCCGCUGAAAAAGUCAACAUGUCUCCUGCCACAUCCCAGAGGCUGAGAUCCAAGACCAACUGAACCAAGAAGCCUGGAAUCUAGUACAAGCCCUUCAGCUAUCCCCGACAAGGUGGUCAGAAAGUCCUGACUGUUAGUGUUUCUCACACUGAAGCACUUCUGCUGGAACUUAGUUGGACAAAAUGAGAAUAUCUCACAGAAGACUCCUGUUUAUGAUGAGAUAAUAAUCUUUCUACAUAAAACCCAGCACGAUUCUAACAAGAUAUGCGCUUUUUCCAUUGCACCGGUGCUGCGCUCACGUUGUUACAAUGCGUUGUGUUUUUCCAUUACAUUUGGUUUAAGGUUCAGUGUUGUUAUGGUGCUCUGCAAGCAUGUUGAUGCAGCACUCUUGCAUAUCUGCCACUAGCCUGUUUUGAAAGGGUGCUGGCAAAUGUCAUCACCAUGCAAGUGACGCAGGUGCAGUAAACGGGGUCAGAGCUCACUUACUAGACUAUGUCGACCGAUUCAUCUGGCUGACAUGAAGUUCAACAUGACUGUUUUAUGAACAUCUGCACUGAUCAAUAGCUUAAUCAAGAGCGCUGACAUUCAUUACCUGGAUCAUUUUGCUGUCCGAAAACACAAACAGCUGCUAACUAGACACAGGGGGACACAUGCAAAGGAUAUAUCGUCACAUGACUGACUUAUGUUGCAUCACAGUAUUUUCAGUUGUAGGUGUCUUAAAGCAUUAAACAGCCUAAUUAGUAGCUAUGAAAGUAGAAAUUGAGCCUAAGCUGAAUUGCUCAGUUUAAUUUAAAAGGUAGAAAAGUUUAACCUCAUCAAAUUAAUAGUUCAGAAACACUCCCAAAGAUUCAGGCCUAUGAAGUCAUUGGCUGUCAAGCAGCUAGAAUGGAGAGGUCUAAAGAUAUUAAACUCAUUGACAUUAGGCUCACAUUACCACAAGUCCAGACUGUACUUGAACUGUGCCCAAGUAGGUCUCGCACUGCAUUUCUUGUACAGAUUACUGUCAGAGAAGGGUGCUCGGUGCAACAUGUGGCAGUGUGCAACAUUUUUGGUUAGAAAACCAAUUUAAGAUUGUCUUGUCACUGAUUAGUAUUAGUGUCAAGCUGUGUAUUCUUUAUGAUUAUUAAUACAUUUGAAUGAUGUUUAACAGAGUAUCAAGUGUAUUUCAACAUGUGAUUUAAAAUGCAAAUAAUCACAAUUUUGAGAUUCAAAGCAUUUGAAUAAAAAAAGCAUUAGUUAAUCUUUUAAA